rnacentral:rRNA from 1 species
ACAUGCUUAAACGCCCGACUUUAUGGAAGGGUGGUAUUUAUUAGACUGAAGCCAAUAUUCCUUGUGUCUAUUGCGGUGAUUCAUAAUAACUGAUCGAAUCUCUUUUUGAGAUAAAUCAUUCAAGUUUCUGCCCUAUCAGCUUUCGAUGGUAGUGUAUUGGACUACCAUGGCAGUAACGGGUAACGAAGAAUUAGGGUUCGAUUUCGGAGAGGGAGCAUGAGAAACGGCUACCACAUCUAAGGAAGGCAGCAGGCGCGUAAAUUACCCAAUCCUGACUCAGGGAGGUAGUGACAAGAAAUAGCAAACCGGGAACCUCAUGGUUUCACGGUAUUGCAAUGAGAACAAUUUAAAACCCUUAGCGAGAAUCAAGUGGAGGACAAGUCUGGUGCCAGCACCCGCGGUAAUUCCAGCUCCACUAGCGUAUAUUAAAGUUGUUGCAGUUAAAAAGCUCGUAGUUGAACCUCUGUCUGGGGCUAGUUUUGGCUUUGGUCAGGCUAGUUCUAGGCAUCCGCCUACAAGACUUAGAGGGCAUUCAGUUGUUCACUAGGAGGAGUAGGCAUUUUACUUUGAAAAAAAUUAGAGUGUUUAAGGCAGGCAAUCGCCCGCAUAUAUUAGCAUGGAAUAAUAGAACGACACUUUUCCAUUUCGUUGGUUAUUGGAAUCGUGUAAUGAUUAAUAGGGACAGUUGUGGGCAUUUGUAUUUAAUUGUCAGAGGUGAAAUUCUUGGAUUUAUUAAAGACAAACUAACGCGAAAGCAUUUGCCAAGGAUGUUUUCAUUAAUCAAGAACGAAAGUUAGGGGAUCAAAGACGAUCAGAUACCGUCCUAGUCUUAACUAUAAACUAUUCCGACUCAAUGUUUGACUGGCUUAUAUAACCAGUUGAGCGUUGUAUGAGAAAUCAAAGUCUUUAGGUUCUGGGGGGAGUAUGGUUGCAAAGCUGAAACUUAAAGGAAUUGACGGAAGAGCACAACCAGGAGUGGAUUCUGCGGCUUAAUUUGACUCAACACGGGGAAACUUACCAGGUUAAAACAAUAGUGGGAUUGACAGUUUGAGAGCGCUUUCUUGAUUGGUUGGGUGGUGGUGCAUGGCCGUUCUUGGUUGGUGGAGUGAUUUGUCUGCUUAAUUGCGUUAACGAACGAGACCUUAACCUGCUUACUAGACUGGCGAUCAUCAAUCGUUAGCUCUUCUUAGAGGGACUUUGGUUGUUUUAACUCCAAGGAAGUUUGAGGCAAUAACAGGUCUGUGAUGCCCUUAGAUAUCCUGGGCCGCACGCGUCAUACAAUGACUAGUUCAGAAAGUUUUCUCCUGACCCGAAAGGGGAUGGGUAAUCUUGAUAAUACUAGUCGUGUUAGGGAUCGAUCUUUGCAAUUAUAGAUCUUGAACGAGGAAUUCCU